rnacentral:rRNA from 1 species
CGCGUAGGCGGCCUGGUAAGUCGGGGGUGAAAGUCAGCGGCUCAACCGCUGGACUGCCUUCGAGACUGCCUGGCUUGAGCAUGGUAGAGGCUGGCGGAAUUCCCGGUGUAGCGGUGGAAUGCGUAGAGAUCGGGAAGAACAUCGGUGGCGAAGGCGGCCAGCUGGGCCAUUGCUGACGCUGAGGCGCGACAGCGUGGGGAGCAAACAGGAUUAGAUACCCUGGUAGUCCACGCCGUAAACGAUGGGUACUAGGCGUCGGGGGGAGCGACCCCUUCGGUGCCGUCGUUAACACAGUAAGUACCCCGCCUGGGGAGUACGGCCGCAAGGCUGAA